AGGAAGCAUCAUUUGCUAAACCAUUAAACAACGAUUCAAGACAUUUGAUCCAAACCCAUAAUACAAAGGGGCAAUCUUUAGAGAAGAAUGAGAAGGAGGCCUGGAAUUGGCGGGUUACAAACAGCUGCUGCUGCUCGGGUUUGUUUCUUCUGGGCUAUAUGAUGUCUUUUGAUUAUUUAUUCUGGUUUAUUGAUAAUUUGAUUUUUGAAUUUGUAUGGAAGGACCAAUAUCGAUUAUUAGGAGAAAAUGUAGCGAAGUUAAGAACUGAUCUUAUGAAAGAACAGCUCGCCACUUUUCGCUCCCAGCUAGAAGAAUUUGCCCGCAAACACAAGAAUGAUAUUCGCAAGAACCCAACUUUCAGGGCGCAAUUCCACGAGAUGUGUGCUAAAGUGGGAGUGGAUCCACUGGCCUCAAAUAAGGGUUUUUGGGCAGAGCUGUUAGGGAUUGGUGACUUCUAUUACGAACUUGGUUUGUACAGUUUUUCUUGAAGUAUGGCGCUUUUCUGAUUGCAAAAUUCUCUUUAGGUGUAGAACUACAUGUUUUUUGUUUUAUGAAUGUUUCAAGUGUAUGUUUGAGGCAUGAGUUCUAAAAUGAAAAUGGCAUAUUCCAAAUUUUUUUGCUGUAUUGGGAACAUGGAAAACGUUAUUUUUCUGUUUUAUUGAGAUUAUCUAAUGCAUGAUGGAGAAUACAUCAUUGGUUUCAGACACACAAAGGGGAAGAAGAAGGUGGUUUGUUACUUAAUUCACAACUAAAGUAAUAAACUACUAACUUUUGUGUCCUGUGAAUUUGCUACAACUGUUUUAAGAGUUUGUGUGCCACUUUUUACCAGAAAAGUGACUGUACCUGACUUCAGGUAUUUAAUGAAAUUUGUUCAUGUUUAUGUUUAUGACUUGGAUGUUAUUUUGCUCCACUCCUUUUGACCCGUGUCUAAAAAUUAUCCUGUUAUUAAAUUGUGUGCUUUUCAGCAUGCUGUAAAUUGUUUAUUCUGAUUUCAUCUUCUUGGCUAGAUAGGGGUGCAAAUCGUUGAGAUAUGCUUGGCAACAAGAUCUCACAAUGGAGGUUUGAUCAACCUUCAGGAACUCUGCAUGCUACUUCGUCAGAAACGAAAAACUGAUCGUGAAGCUGUUUCCGAAGAUGACUGCUUGCGUGCUAUAAGUAAGCUUAAGGUUGGUAAUUGAGGUGCCAUCAUGGUUGUACAGUUUUUUAGAAACUGAUGUAAAUAUAAGGUGCAUUAUGGAGGAGAAAAUCUUCUAAUGAAUCAAGUUUACUCGAACAUGUUUUAUGUCAUCUUUCUAAAUUCUUAGCAACAUCGUUCCUAUUCUGCUAUAUUUUUCUUAUUCGAAAGACACAACUGAUAGCAAAAGGGUUUAGGGGAAUGAAACCAUUUUGAUACUCUGAGUCUUAUGAUAUUUUAGUUUUAGGUACUUUAUCUGGUUUAUUAAGAAAAUUUAGUAGCCAAAUAUCUCUCUCUUUCUCUCUCAAGUUGGUGAGGGAGAUUAAAAGUCUUCAUUCAUGUGAUGUUUUAUGCCGCAAUGUCAUGAUGGGCAUAUUCUUUGGUUAUUAUUGGUUUGUUGUAUGGUAUUUUGUUGGAAGGCAGUCAGAAAAGUUAUAUGUUCCUAUUAUCCCUAAAUUUCAUUAUGUUUGUUCUCCUUUUUUCUUGAGGGAACAAUUUAAAUUUAUCUAUGUCCAUUUGGUAAAUUUUUUGAUACUCCUAACAGUUGUAAGAUAGAUAAGUGUCAUUAUUAGAUUCAUUCUGAGUAUGCAAUAUGCAUUAGUGCCAUUAUAUUAAUUGCUAAAAUUGAAUGCAACUUCUGCAUCAUAUAUCACUGGUUACUUUUCUAGCAUUGUUUAUUAGUUGACUAUGAAUUUUCUCAGAUACUAGGGAGCGGUUUUGAGGUGAUAUCUGUUGGAAAAAGAAAGCUUGUUCGAUCUGUUCCAACUGAAUUGAACAAAGACCAUAAUGAAAUUUUGGAGCUGGCUCAGGCUCAAGGCUAUGUCACUGUUGAUGAGGUAGAGGGGCGACUUUCUUGGACAUCUGGUCGUGCUACUGAUGCCCUUGAUACAUUAUUAGAUGAAGGUCUUGCUAUGAUUGAUGAUGGCCACAAGGAUGGCAAGCGCCGCUAUUGGUUCCCCUGUGUGUCUUCCAUAUCCUCUUCAGUAGGAGCUGAUAUUUAAAAUGGUAUCUCAUCCAUGAACUUUAUAUUUGCACCCAUAACAUAAGGUUGUCGAGGAAGUUUUAUUGUAAUGUCCGUGAUCUUGGUCUAGUUUUCUUCCUUGGAAAUGCAACUUGCACAGGUCCGGUCACCAAAUUGAUCACUGUGAUGCAAAAAAAUUAUUCACUGUGUACUGCUUGUUAAUGUGAGACUUGUAAAUUAAACUGAAUCGGAAAGUGACUUCAAUCAUGGAUAUUAAACAGAUAAAAUGAGCAAAUUAUUUCAUGUUUUUUAUAUAUCUGGCAGAAUCAGUUGUGUUUGUAUGAGCUGUUGCUUCCUGUAAUGGGAAUUGAACAUAUUUAUUUCCUUGUUAUGCUACUGUAAAUGCCAAUCUGUUAAUUCAAUCUAUUCACUGAAAGAAAAAAAG
rnacentral:misc_RNA from 1 species